rnacentral:rRNA from 1 species
GAUGAACGCUGGCGGCGUGCCUAAUACAUGCAAGUCGAGCGAACGGACGAGAAGCUUGCUUUUCUGAUGUUAGCGGCGGACGGGUGAGUAACACGUGGAUAACCUACCUAUAAGACUGGGAUAACUUCGGGAAACCGGAGCUAAUACCGGAUAAUAUUUUGAACCGCAUGGUUCAAAAGUGAAAGACGGUCUUGCUGUCACUUAUAGAUGGAUCCGCGCUGCAUUAGCUAGUUGGUAAGGUAACGGCUUACCAAGGCAACGAUGCAUAGCCGACCUGAGAGGGUGAGCGGCCACACUGGAACUGAGACACGGUCCAGACUCCUACGGGAGGCAGCAGUAGGGAAUCUUCCGCAAAGGGCGAAAGCCUGACGGAGCAACGCCGCGUGAGUGAUGAAGGUCUUCGGAUCGUAAAACUCUGUUAUUAGGGAAGAACAUAUGUGUAAGUAACUGUGCACAUCUUGACGGUACCUAAUCAGAAAGCCACGGCUAACUACGUG